rnacentral:lncRNA from 1 species
CUAUUAUACAUGCAAACUUGAACUUUCCAAGGUAUUACCCUAACUAGCAUACAAUCAUUGAUACUUGGGUAAUAUAAACAAGUUAGAAGACAUGCCUUUUCAUGUAGUUUUAUUCCAUGGAGCUUAAGAGCCUAGUGCCUCAAGUGUGACACCUCAAAUGGUUCACACAACAUCACCAACAUCUUGGAAUAACUAGAGAUAAAAGGUUCCUAUGCUCAAAUCGGCUAGCCCUCACGUAUACACACAUUUGUGCCAAUUUCUUGAGCCAUGGGGUCCUUAUAUAUUAUGGCUAUUAGGGUUACACCAUGUAACUCAUGUCUUUCCAUAUUCUUCAUGCUCCAUGGGUUAAAACCUCCAAGGAGUAUCCAUGAGUUACUCCAUGGGUUUAGCCCAACAUGAAGAACUAUGGAUCAUAAGCCCACAUAUAUAAGAAUGAACGAUUUACACAAUCAAUCCACAUAUAUUUAAUUAGUCUCUUUUUUAUCACAAUAUUAAUUCCAAAUAAAUUAUUGAUUAAUACUAAUUCAAUAACAUGAUUUCAUAUUAAUAUAUUAUAACUUAUAAUAUAUUAACAAAUCAUAAUUAUCCUUUUCUCACAAAAGUCUAUCCAAAUUGUCCCGAUGCCAUGCAACCAAAAUGGACCAUGCCAACAAGGUCAAGUACAUACCAAUUAUAGUUAUGGACUUAGACACUAAUCCAACAGUCUCCCACUUGGAUAAGUCUAAAACUAUUAUUGCGUAUGACUCCAAAACCCAACUAGCAAUCGUAGCUCUUAAAAGCUGUCGUCGAACUCUGAACAAAUCAAUGACGCAUUCAUUAGAUAAGGGAUCAUAUAUUCCUCCAUUCUAGAUAUUAUAUAGACUGAGACAUGGAUUAUAAUCAUUCUCACUGUCCAUUUGUUGUUUCCCGAUUUCCAAUUUAUGACGACCGACUAAUUGAACAAAUCAAAUCAGUCCAAGCUUAGCCAAGCACUUCGGGGUGUCAUCACUAAAUCAUCGAGGGGCCCACAGAUAUCACUUUUAUCCCUUUAAGGGUAAAAGGAAUGGAUAAACUUUGACUCAUAUGCUUGUUCUACUACUAGUUGAAUCAUACACAAAGGCAUGUUUUAUAACAUCGAGUUACCAAUGCAUUUUUGUACAAUCAAUGUAUAACGAACUCAUAAGCAACAACUCAUAUCUCUAGGUUUGAAGAAUAUAAGAUAUUAUCAACUCAUAUCUAUUUCUAACAUAUGACCAAAUGUGGAUGGUUUGAAUAACUUAGUCAUUCAAGAAGAACGACCUACUUAUUCUGGAAGUCAAAACAUGCAAAGUGAACACAAUAAUAAUCGAAUCCAAUAUCUCAGAACUUAUGAAUAUAAAUAGAACACCUUUUAUUUAUCACCAUAUUGAUUACACAUUAUUCAUUGCAUAUUGUUUCAAAUUAUUAACUUUAUACUUGAAUUAAAACAAUAGUUGUCCCAUACUCCAAGCAUGUACACUAUGUUUUCUAAACACUAGUCAUGCCAUACACCAAGUAUGCACACUAUGUUUUUCCAAACAUUAGUUAUGCCAUACACCAAGUAUGCACACUAAGUUUGUCUAUGAUCUCUAGUUUGUGAAAUAGAUUGAUUGAACAUAAUUCCAAUGAUUCUCAUUUCACAAUCCCAAAUCCUUACUACGAAUGCAAGAAUUCCAAAUUUCUGCCAUUUACCGAAAUCUGUUAGAUAUUAAACUUAUAUGCACUGAAUCUCUGUAAUGAUUAUGCAUAAAGUCACAAUGACUUGUCAACAUGCAUUACAGAGUAUUCCAAUGGAGAUAAACUCCAUGGAAACGAAGUCUCAUAAUCAAAGUACAUUGCUUUGAUCAUCCUUCUUGCAUUAAGUUUCCUAAUCUUACACAGAUUUAAUGAAUAACUUCCACCUAUGGGAACAUUUUCGUAUUCCCAUUUUAACUAUCACUCCUGAACAAGAGUUGCCUCUUUUCAGAAUAUGUCAAUAUGGUCCUUCCAAAAUUAACACUAUACUUCUUACUGUCCCUGAGCAACCAAUCUUUGGUAAACCUUAGAUUGUCCUCGACAAUUGCUUAAUCAAAUUAGUCAUAUCCAGUUCUAGUACUUGCUCCCUCUUAAUGCUCUAGGCAUUUGGAAAAAAUUUAGAACAAAUGAAUAUUAUAGCACAUGCAAUCGAUCCUAUAUCCGAAGCAUAUGGGACACGAUUCAUGAUGUCUCACAUAAAGACAUGAUACUAGACCAGUCUUUUGCUAUAAUAUUUCUAUUUCUAUUUGCCAAGUUCUCAAAAUUCAAAUUAUAAAAAGGAAUGCUGUAAUCAUAAUCGAAUUUUAGAAUGCGAAUAAUGGACCCAUAUAUAGAAUUUCCUUAUGUUAAUCCAUUCCAACAUAAAGAUGAUUAAAAUCUAAAUCUAAGCUUUUAGAAUUGAAAUGAAGUCAUAAUUCCCUCUUCCUUAAUUAUAGCAAAACAACUUUUUCCCAAUUGAAACCUUUUGUUUUCUAUAAUUAACAUUGCUAAGUUUAACACUUAUCAUAAUUAUCAUGCUCCUACUAACAUGAUGAUUAUUAGCAUAACUCUCAUGCUCCCACUAGCUUUGACAUGUACUCAGAAAUCAACUGGACUUCUAGAAACCAAUACUUUAUUGACUUUCUUACCAAAGUUUAGACUUCUAAUACGAGAUUCUUUGAUAAAACUUUAUAAAAUCAUACACCUUUCCUUAGAUAGCACACAUGUGUCUGUCUAAACAAUUUCAGAACUAUGAAAAGGGAUGCCGUAAUCAUAGUCUCACUUGUUUAGACCUUUUCCAUUCCUCACAAGUCCAUGUUAGUGUGACGGUUAACAAUACACGCUCCACUAAUGACUUUGAGAAUGAAAAUAUCACAAUUGCUAUCUACUUAAUGCCUACUUAGUGAAAUCUUUUCCUCACCAUCAUUUUCAUAAAUCAGAUAGAAACCUUAUGACACUUAUAUUUUAUGGUGUAUGUGUUCCUAUCCAUGUGAAUUUGUCAAAACCAUCAUCACAAGACAAGGUUAGUGACAAAUCCAAAAUCAUAUGGAUUAAACUUGUACAAUCUUAACUUCUUGCCACCUGGCAGCACAAGGGCCUGCCAUUGCUUCCAAGUUGUUAUGCAACAAAAUUGAGAACUCUCAGAACUCAUAUGCAAAGUCAACUUUAACCGGAAUGGGCACAGAAAUAGGAAUAUGUCAAUACGAUAGGUUAUAAACCUCACGUCGUGUGCUAGUGAUAAAUUACUGGUUUUACUCUUGAUCACUGUCCUCUUGACAUAUAAGACUCUCUUGCCAAAUAUUCAAGAGAUAGUGUGGAUUCUUAUCAAGACAAAUACUUCACACAGUUGGCCUAAGUUAGUCUCUGUUUUAUCCAAUACAUCACAACUUACCAAUUUCAAAUGUACAAGAGUAGGACACAUUUUACUCUUACAUUUGACAAGUGUAGAUAAACCUUCUUUAAGAUUUGUCACUCAAGAUCAAGUUUGUAAAAACACUCGACGUUAGCUAGUCGGUGGACUGGGGUCAAGAGAUUAAUAGGCUAGGCAGAGAUUUAUCUGGGGAUUAAUCGGGGACCAUUAAUUGCUAAUUUGUUGAAUUUAAAAAAAUUAAAUAUCACCAAUAUCAUAUCAAAGUUCAUAAAUACCACUAAUAUGAUAACAAAAUAGGUUAAAAUGACUAAUAUAACACUAAUUAUGCCUCAGAUUGUUUCCAUUGAAAUAAAACUUCUUCAAAAUGUUAAAAUUUCAUCGUUUCAUAAUGUUUUACUCAUUAUGUAUGCAAAGAUUAAUCUUUCGGCGCUCUCUAAUCGGUUAAGUAGCGCCUAGGGGUUAAUCAGAGAUUAAUCGGGACCUAGUCGGGAUUUUACAACAGUGCUCAAGAUACAUUCUUGGAGUAUGACUUUAAGAAUUGUUUUGGAAUGACGUAUGACUCAUCUUCUUGAUUUAACCAUUUUAGCAAUUCUUGAUUCCUCUUCUUAGCCAUAGGAAUGCAUUAAGAUGUCCUUAGAGGACCAACUAUGAUAUGGUUUCUUAAUCAUUAAGAUGAUCACAAAACGGGAUACUAAAGUACUCUCCCAUCUUUUUAGAUUUGAGAAACUUUUAUCCUUCUGCCAAAUUUGAUUAUUCUCAUUAAUUUUGCCAUACAUUGAAACUUUUCCAAUGUUUCAGAAUUACACUUAAGCUUAUAAGUAUAACCAUUUUUACUAAACUUUAGUAAAUCAUGACGAAUAGUCUUACUGAUCUUUUGUGGUGGACUUGAUCAGUGCACAAGAAUGUGUACUCGAUCCCUUAGUCCUUAACUUGACUCAUAUAUACAUGUGAACAAGGAAUUAGUCUUAUGUUUCCAAAGCUGAAAGUUCUCAUUCAUCAUACUAUACAACUUGCAUGAUUCCAAGUUUCAGUCCAACUGAAAACUUGGGUGAUGAGAAUCUUUGCUUAUUUCGUAAAUUUAGACACUACCACAAAAGAAAGAAGCAAAUUCAUAUUUCCAAUAUUGCUAGAAACAUAUAAAUAUUAAUUUUUCAUAAAUUCCAUUUCAAUGAGAUAUAAAAUAAAACAAAAUUUUAUUUAUUUUAUAAAAUUCGGAAAAACUAUUUCCUUACGAUGCAACUUAAACGAAAACUAUGCUAUUACAUAUUUUCUAGCAAUCUAUCAUAAAUCCUAAGUAGCAGCUCAAGAAUCCGAUCAUCGAACCAUGCGAUUGAAAUCCAUAUUCGCGAUAAGAUUCAGCAUACUCUUUCUUCAAUUUUCCUUCCCUUUGCUCGAUCCUGCCAUACAUCAAAAUGUAUUAAGAAUCUCCAAAUAGGAUCUUAAUUGAGUUAGAUAGUGGAAUUACCUAAAGCAGAGUCAAACUUUUUGACUUGACCUUCUCUCAGAUCUUUCAGGUAGUUAGGGCAGCUUCGCAACCAAUGCCCCUUCCUUUUGGCAAUUGAAACAUAUGGACUCUUUUGUAAUGGUACAUGGGACUAUCUCAGACUUAGCCAUUCUCUUUACCAUUUGGUCAAUCGAGUUGACUAUGGCCGUUCCCUUUCCAUUGGGAAGAGAAAGCUUUACUGGAUAUCCAAUGUUACCAAUUGUCAAUGUCCAUGGUAUUUUGGGAAGUUGAUCUACUAAUCAAAUUUCCUUUACCAGAGCUCCAAAUCAUUGCUGAUUUAGCAAUACCAAGCAAAUAGAUAAGAUCAUUAAGGGUCAUGUCCUAGUCUUACAAAGUAGUCCUAAAGGAACUCACUAUGUGACUUAGAAAGUGAUUGAACAACCAACUUUCUUAAGACUUUGACACCCAACUCUCCCGGCUUGUCAAUAUGUGACUUUAUCUCCAAGAUGUGAGCACACCUAGACUUUUCUUGCCAAUAGGGUUUGAGUAAACUUGAACUAUUCAAGAACUUGUGGGUUAGGGAGAAUAAUUGGAAGAGGUGGAGGGAGUGGAGAAUGAUUUUUAGGACAUCAUCUUCAUUAGAAAAGCUUGUUCCAAGAGUUUUGGGAAGAUCAUAAUUGUCUGAGCCAGAUAUCUUUUGGGAGAUAUUCAAGAUAGUUGAUUUAAAGUCCUUAAUAUAACACCCAAUAUGAAAUAUUAAUGCUAGGACCCAACACAAUAUUUUAUAACUUGGAAGAGGGAUGCCGUAAUCCAAAGUAUAGAAUAUUUAAAGGUUGGCGAAUGAUGAUUCACCAAUUUCCACCAUGAAAAAUGAAAUAAUUUAUUAGGUUUUAAUUGGAUUUUGAAACUCCUAGAUCUUUUGAGAUUCAUUGAACCUUUCAAUGGCAUGUUUCAAUCUCGAUUAUGCCCUCUCAAAUUUUGUGACUGGGAUGUCGAGGAUCACAAAACAGAGUGUGAAUAACCAUGUAAAUUUACUUGGUACCCUUAAUAUUUAUCACUGAAUCGAUGUGCCGGUUAACCACACGUGCUCCACCGAUCUUAUGAUAAACAUUAAGUUACCCUUUGCCUACCUUGUUAAAUAUAGGUUAGUGUGCCAGUUAACCACACACGCUCCACUAACGACUUAAGCAGAUUGCAAAGUGUAAUUUCAUGGGUUAACACCAAAUUCACAUUUUUCUAAAGUAACUAAGAUUGGGAAUUUAUAAAAGGUUUAGUUACUUUAUAUUUAUCAUUAUACUUAUAAUCAAGGGAGAAUUAUAGUCCUUGUCCUACCCGUUCGGCUAACGACCCUCUACCAUUCUAGAAAGCGGUGGGUGAGAGUGGACACCCAUUAAACUACCAUUGUAUAGGCAAUAACCUUAUACCCCCCUUAUAGACCGACUUCGUGAAUGAGGCCUACUAACGGUAAGACUGACUUUGUUCCUAUACAUAUAUAUAUAUAUAUAUAUAUAUAUAUAUAUAUAUGUAUAUAUAUUAUUAACUUAUAAUACUAUGAAGUAUAAGGGUUGAAUUUUAACUUUUAAAAUUCUAAGGGCUUAACUUGGAAUUAAAGUAUUCAUGAGGGGAAACUUUACAAAUUCCAAAACUUGAGGGCAAGUUAUGAACUAUUCAAAAACAUUUCAAUUCCAUAACUUAUGUGUUCAAAGUAGUUUUAAUGAAAAAUUCUUCAAGUUCCAUAACUUGAGGACAAGUUAUGGAAGACUUUAAAACAUUUAAAAAAAUGAGACUCUCCAUUUUCAUAACUUAUGGAAAUUUUAUGAGUUCUAAGAAUCAUAAAUGUAACUUUUCAUAUAACUUGAGGACAAGUUAGAAAAACACAUAUUAUGAAAAACUUUUAGAUCAACUUGGAUUGAAAACAUAUUAUCAGAUAACUUUUCUAUUAAUCUAAAUCAACUCAUAAGAACAAGAUAAUUCAAAUCAAACAAUUUUAAUGUAAUUAGACUAACCAUUAAACUAAUACAAAACAUGAAUCUAUUGACAAUUAUCUAUGAAAUUGGAUUAGCAUGAACAUUACCACAUCAAAAGCAGGUUUACAAGUUCAAAAACAGCGUAGGGUAAUGUUCCUAGUCCAAUCCAGCCAAAAACCUCGAAAAUAUGUUGUCUGGGGGUCCAACUCGUCGAGUACAUGAACCAAAUCGACAAGUUGGAUGAUUUUAUGCAUGGCCUCGACGAGUCCACUGUCCAGAACAGCAGAAAAUCGAAUUUUUUUUAGCAUUUUUCAGCAAUUUUCAUCAAGUAUAAUUGAAAACAAGCCUAGUCUUUGAUACCACUGAAGGCUUUUGAGUAUUCUAACAUUCAUAUGGUGUACAUGCAACCCUAAAUACCUUGAAUCUAUGUUUUCUCUAUUAUACAUGCAAACUUGAACUUUCCAAGGUAUUACCCUAACUAGCAUACAAUCAUUGAUACUUGGGUAAUAUAGACAAGUUAGAAGACAUACCUUUUCAUGUAGCUUGAUUCCAUGGAGCUUAAGAUCCUAGUGCCUCUAGUGUGACACCUCAAAUGGUUCACACAACAUCACCAACAUCUUGGAAUAACUUGAGAGAAAAGGUUCCUAUGCUCAAAUCGGCUAGCC